GACGAACGCUGGCGGCGUGCUUAACACAUGCAAGUCGAGCGGUGAAGAUCCAGCUUGCUGGCGUGGAUCAGUGGCGAACGGGUGAGUAACACGUGAGCAACCUGCCCCUGACUGUGGGAUAAGCGCUGGAAACGGGGACUCAUACUGGACACGAGAACGGUAAGCAUGGGCACUAUGUGGAAAGUUUUCCGUUUGGGGAUGGGCACGCGGCCUAUCAGCUUGUUGGUGAGGUAGUGGCUCACCAAGGCGACGACGGGUAGCCGGCCUGAGAGGGCGACCGGCCACACUGGGACUGAGACACGGCCCAGACUCCUACGGGAGGCAGCAGUGGGGAAUAUUGCACAAUGGGCGGAAGCCUUAUGCAGCGACGCCGCGUGGUGGAUGACGGCCUUCGGGUUGUAAACCUCUUUCAGCAGGGAAGAAGCGAAAGUGACGGUACCUGCAGAAGAAGCACCGGCUAACUACGUG
rnacentral:rRNA from 1 species